rnacentral:rRNA from 1 species
UACGUAGGGACCAAGCGUUGUUCGGAUUUACUGGGCGUAAAGGGCGCGUAGGCGGCUUAACAAGUCACUUGUGAAAUCUCUGGGCUUAACCCAGAACGGCCAAGUGAAACUGUUAUGCUAGAGUGCAGAAGGGGCAAUCGGAAUUCUUGGUGUAGCGGUGAAAUGCGUAGAUAUCAAGAGGAACACCUGAGGUGAAGACGGGUUGCUGGGCUGACACUGACGCUGAGGCGCGAAAGCCAGGGGAGCGAACGGG